AGGGAAACCCCAUCAGGCGGGAUUACCCGCUGAAUUUAAGCAUAUCAAUAAGCGGG
rnacentral:rRNA from 1 species